CUUUAAUACUGUUAUUUUACAUUAAAAAGACACAUCAUAAUGAAAAUUUGUUAAAAUUUAGUUUCAAAUUAUUUUGGUAUUUUCAAAACGUAAACAAAUAAAGUUUUCCCAUGAUCCUUUAUUCUACAAUGAACAUACUCGCAUACAACAGUGAAAAUGAACUGACUGGAUUCGCACUUUAUAUACACUGCCUAAAGAAACAACAAAUCAUUGGACUAACAUUUUAUAUUGAUUGCAGAGUUUGUUGUCUGUGCUGUGUGACUGUAAAAUACUUAAAGAAAUAUCAAAUUCAUUUUACUUAUACUGAACAGGG
rnacentral:lncRNA from 1 species